UUGGUCGCAGGCUUCUUAGAGGGACUGUCUGUGUCUAACAAACGGAAGUUUGAGGCAAUAACAGGUCUGUGAUGCCCUUAAAUGUUCUGGGCCGCACGCGCGCUACACUGACAAAGCCAGCGAGUUUUUUUCCUUGGCCAGAAGGUCUGGGUAAUCUUGUGAAACUUUGUCGUGCUGGGGAUAGAGCAUUGCAAUUAUUGCUCUUCAACGAGGAAUUCCUAGUAAGCGUGAGUCAUCAGCUCGCGUUGAUUACGUCCCUGCCCUUUGUACACACCGCCCGUCGCUACUACCGAUUGAAUGAAUA
rnacentral:rRNA from 1 species